UUUUCACUUAUAAUUGCACAAGAGGUUUGUAUUUUACCGAGUAAAUUUGGGUUGUUUAGGUAAUGAAAAUCUGUUGCCUAGCAAUUAGACGAGAAAAACUGUCAACUAAUAAAAAUGCGACACCUGUAACCAGCUCGAAGAAUGUGGUGAUUGAAGGCGUCGCUAGUUGGAGGGAUACUACAUAUCUCGCGGUUCUUCUUUAUGAAGAGGGCUUUCCUCAUUUCGCUGACAUCGACGAAUUCCAACGAUCUGUUGAUGUCUUGCCUCAAACCUUCAUAAUUUGUAGUAUUUAGAGUAAUCGUAUUGGGGUCGAUAGACCGGAUCGACUCGGCUAAUUUAUUAUAUCUAAAUAACAAAAGGUAGAAUUCAAUGUGAAAUUGACAAAGUCAUUACGUUUUGGAAUAAUAACCAUUUACCGUCCAUAGUGAUCAUUUACAAAUUAAAUUUUCUUUUAAUCGACGUAUCAGGUUCCUAAAAAAUGAAAUCCAUGAAAGAAUAACUGUAUGCCAUGGUGUAUAAUAAAAUGUAAAAAUGCACGUGGAAGUUCAAACAUAUUUUAUGGGUCAUUUUAAAUUCCAGCGUCAUUUGGCUAACACUGCAAUUACAAUUGGUCAAAUCCCAAUCAGUUAUGUUGCUAUUUGUCUAAUUGCAAAUCCCUACUGAGAUAACGUUAUUCAAACGUCUCGUUAACGCAUCUGAAACAAUCGUUGAAAUGUGUACCUGAUGGUAAUUUAUUUAUAUUUUUAGCGCAUUUAUCCUUGUGUUUAUAUCUAAAGACCCACCUUACAACUCAACCAUUUACUAUGCUAUUUCGGUUUUAAAAAAAUGCGCUUUUCUGCACAAGAGUUGUACACAAAUUAGAUUUGUUUUAUGUUGUCCUAUUUUGAGUCAUGAGGAAAUGGUAUGGCUACCUUAUCAUUUAUUUAUGACCCAUACUGGAUACUGCCAAUAUCGUGUACCAAUUUAUCAUUCUGGGAAAACAAUUUUAUGAUCGACACUGUUUUCUUCAUAUUGCCCUUGCGUAGAUAAAAAUGUUGUACCUUUAUUUUUGUUAAUCUAACUAUAAUCCACAAUAAACCACUGUCCUUCUCGAUCGCAAUGAAAAUAUCGACGAUGGUUUUUUCCGCAUAAAAUUUUCGAGUUUAUAAUCGCCCACAAUUCCGAAUAAUUAAACUGCCUAAUCACUGUACACUGAUACACUCAUACAUCAAUUACGAAAAAAGAAGUGACGCGUUUCCUCAUUAUAAGAGUUUUACCAUCCGACUGACUGUUAAGUGUUGCAAUGCAGAGUACCGUCAUUGAUUAUAUAGUUAGUGUAUGUAAUCAAUGGUACCGUAUACCUUUUUAGACGCGGAAUAAGUAGCAGUAGAUGUAGAUAUAAAGUAUAGCCAGUGUGCAUAAUGGAAAUGGUAAAGAGCAUUUUUUACAAUUGAAGGAGGCAUCAAAUCACCGACAACAUUCAAGUCAAGCGAUCAAGCUGGAUAUUCAUCAGCAUAUGGUUGACCCUCAAAUCGACCGGUCUAUCAAAUAGACAAUUUUAUAAGGCGAUAUGUGUCGUUUGGCUAGCACUAUUUCUUGCACUAAAUGGUAUAAUGUUGGGCAUGGGUGCAGUAGAACUACCCGUCUGUCCAAUACUACCCAAAAUACCAUUAUACAUGCUAGUAGCUGGUGUGAUUGGUAUUAUAUCUAAAUUGUUACGACGAAUUGAAAACUUCACUGGCGCAUAAUUGAUGUGCUGGUGUAUGUUGCACACUUAUUUGAUUUUAUUUGGCUUAUAUUAGGAUCUGUGUGGAUCUACAGUCACAAACCCAACUUCAACCCAAAGGUAGGACCGUAUUGCGACUCGACUUUCUCCUUGGUGACACUUCAUUGGAUAUUUCUAGCUGGAUUUUUCGUUACAGUACUUUGUUGUUAUCACCGUGCCCAUUUUACCUAUGAAACACUGUAACAGUUUCUAACGCUAUCGAUCCCUCAGUACUGUGGUAUUACAACUUACAUAUAACGUGUGAAAUUGCUUCUGAAUUUCAUUGUACGUAUCUAAUCUAUAGAAAACCAUGCAUUGAAGGAUUCUUACUGAAAAACAAGCACGGAUUUACUAAAUUACACAACAUUUCAUUAUUGAAAUGCAUGGUUAAUUAAAUCGUUUUAGGAAUUGUAUCUAUGCUUUUAUCUUAAUUAGCUCUCGACAUUUAUACACGAGUUAUACCAAGUUUAGGGACUGCAAUGUUUUUAUAAUCCUAUUUGAUACAAAUAAAA